rnacentral:rRNA from 1 species
AACGCUAGCUACAGGCUUAACACAUGCAAGUCGAGGGGCAGCAUGAACUUAGCUUGCUAAGUUUGAUGGCGACCGGCGCACGGGCGAGUAACACGUAUCCAACCUGCCGAUGACUCGGGGAUAGCCUUUCGAAAGAAAGAUUAAUACCCGAUGGCAUAGUUCUUCCGCAUGGUAGAACUAUUAAAGAAUUUCGGUCAUCGAUGGGGAUGCGUUCCAUUAGGUUGUUGGCGGGGUAACGGCCCACCAAGCCUUCGAUGGAUAGGGGUUCUGAGAGGAAGGUCCCCCACAUUGGAACUGAGACACGGUCCAAACUCCUACGGGAGGCAGCAGUGAGGAAUAUUGGUCAAUGGACGAGAGUCUGAACCAGCCAAGUAGCGUGAAGGAUGACUGCCCUAUGGGUUGUAAACUUCUUUUAUACGGGAAUAAAGUGAGGCACGUGUGCCUUUUUGUAUGUACCGUAUGAAUAAGGAUCGGCUAACUCCGUGCCAGCAGCCGCGGUAAUACGGAGGAUCCGAGCGUUAUCCGGAUUUAUUGGGUUUAAAGGGAGCGUAGGCGGACGCUUAAGUCAGUUGUGAAAGUUUGCGGCUCAACCGUAAAAUUGCAGUUGAUACUGGGUGUCUUGAGUACAGUAGAGGCAGGCGGAAUUCGUGGUGUAGCGGUGAAAUGCUUAGAUAUCACGAAGAACUCCGAUUG